rnacentral:lncRNA from 1 species
AAAUCUUUGUCAUAUAUAGAAGUUAUGUUUGUAGAGGACAAAAACAUUGAUGUUGUGAUAGAAAAGUUCAAAAAGGAACCUCAAACAAAUUUUAUCAUAAUAAUAAUGAUUCAGUGAUAUAAUUUAUGUAGGAGAAAUGAAACACCAUUAAGACGCUAUGUUAUAUCCGCGCAAAAGUUUGGUAUUCAAUAAAGCUACGCUCAAACCUUUGAGAGAUAUGUAAAAAAGUACCCUUUAAAGAAAAAAAAAGGAUAAGGAGGAAACUAACAAAAAAAA